CCUUGAGCACGUACAUUUACUGGCUUGGUGAGUUGGCGCCGUAACACAAGCGGGACAUUUCAAAACAACUGGAUGGCGUUUGCUGCAAUUAUUCACUCAAUCGGCGAUUAAUCUUCGAUUAAAUGUAUAAAUAUAACUGCUUAGGUAACAUUAGCUGCCCAAGGACUACUAUCAGUCGGAGAGCGAACACUUCAACCUCGGACCACCAACUAGCUAGCUGUUUCGGAUAAGAUAGCGUCAAGCUAAGAAGUUAUCCUUGGCAUAGAGAGGCAGGUUUCAGAAAGAGGACUGAUUUCACCACUAACAUUGAUGGGGUGGCUCCCACCAUCUUGUGGUGAACACAGCAACUUUGGCAAAUGUUCAGGGUCGACGUGCCAGUAAUGGGUCUGAUGAUUUACAUGAUGGUGAUGGAAAGUCAGCAUCAGGACCAAGGCGGCACCAUGGCCCCAUCAAUUCCGUAGCAACCACUGCUUCUCCUCCUCAUGACUCAGACAACUGCACUCCAGGGCUCCACCAUCUCUGCAUCACACCAGAGCCUACCAAUACUGUUCCUGUGCCUACACUACUUUGUUGCACCUCCAGCUGCUACAGUGCAACCCCUUCCCUCUGCCUGACUCUCCACGUGCUGCUGGUCAGCCUGCCACUGCGCCUAUGGACCGUCUACGGCCACUGUGUCAAUGCUCUCGGCUGCACCUCAGACUGUCUAUGCUGAGGUGUGGGCACCACCUGGGGGGUGCGUCAGAGAUUCCAGGGUGUGCAUAGAAUUAGUUUGUGUUGAGGUUGUGACCAAAAUUGUGCAAAUUGUUAUUAUAGUAAAGCCAAAUUAAAACACAUUUUGGUCUCCAUGUAAUGCUAUUGAGGUAUUGAUAAUGUUUCAAGCGAGAAUCAUUGUAGUUAUUUACUUACAGUAAAUCAUUUAUUUGGUGCGUAAUAUGCAUGCCAAGAAGUUGGGGUUGGGGGUGUGCGGCUUGUCUUGGGCGCAGGUAACGUCUACGCAAUAGCAGCUUC